rnacentral:tRNA from 1 species
UCCCUGGUGGUCCAGUGGCUAUGUAAGACUUUACACUUCCAAUGCAGGGGGGCCCAGGUUCGAUCCCUGGUCAGGGAA